AGCGAACGCUGGCGGCAGGCCUAACACAUGCAAGUCGAACGGACCCUUCGGGGUUAGUGGCGGACGGGUGAGUAACACGUGGGAACGUGCCUUUAGGUUCGGAAUAGCUCCUGGAAACGG
rnacentral:rRNA from 1 species